AUAGAGACAUGUAUUGCUUUAGAAAAGCAGGUAAAUAUAAUUUUUCAUUCAUGUGUAUUUGCUUAUUCUUUACUUUGUUUUACACACCCACACCAGAAGGGGGUGGGGGGAGGCACUGAUCUAAGCUAUCAGUAUUCUAUCCCUAGGAUUUCUGGAAAAGUGCAUUGGGAAUGCCUGACACAUGCAAUUUCAAGAUCUCUUCACCUUGCAA